UCCUAGAAAAAGAAAUAUAUAAAUAGCAUUUUCAUCUUCGAUGCAGUACAGUCUGUAGCGGGCUGUGGUUGUACUUCUGAUGGAAAUAUUACUAUUGUAGUAGGAAUGAACACGUGGAUGACUUAGGGUAGAGGGUAAUAGAUAAACAUUUUUAUAUAUAUCGAGUAGCGCUGGCAGGGUAGCCAAGUGUGCACCAAGUAUAAUUUGUGGUUUUCACUGUGGUGAGUCUGAAGAUGGCUGUCUUCUUUGUUGUAGCUCCUGUAGUCUGGUUGAAGUUUGCCAAUGCUUCAGAGGUCCUCUCCAUCGUCAGGGUAAUGGAAAAACUUAGUUAUAGGAGACUGGCAGUGGGGAUUGGGAACGAAUAGGAGCUGGGGACAUGGGGGGCUCUCAUAAGGGCUCCUCAGGUUCCUGCCAUAGGAUCAACUGACAUAUGAGAGUUUUAAUGUGUCAACAGCUGGGAGAUGAAGCAGAUUUCUGUACAACUGCAUUAGAAAGAAGGAAUACAAAUAUUUGGUACAAAUUAGUGGCAGAAGUCUUCUCAAUAGGCUAGCCCUAACUGGCACAGAAGAGGAAAUUAAGAGACAAAGGGCCCAAGGAAAUUUACUUGGCAUGCACUUGUGAGAUGAAUGUCUCUCCUUUCCCAAUGGCCUAUUUUGGAUCAAAAUGCUCAGAUAAUGAAAGGCAAUGACGCAGUUCCAUCCUGCAAAAGCUGUUGAGUGGUCCAAAACUACAAGACACAGAAGAAGCCAAAUCAGAAACAUGAAGUCAAUGUAGAGCUCAUUUGUUGUUUUACAUCUGAAUGUUAUUUUGUAUGAUAUAAAUGUGCACAUGUCUUGUCACUGCUUAUAGCUAAUUAAAAGAAUUAAUUUAUCUACUUCA